GUGCACACUUCAGCAACUCAUAUACUAAAAUUGGAACCAUACAGAGAAGAUUAGCAUGGCCCCUGCACAAGGAUGACAUGCAAAUUCAUGAAACAUUCCAUAUUUUU